AAAUAUGUUUCUGACUAGGGUUUGUUUCCCUCUUUUUGUACUCGACGACAGUAAGACGGAACAAAACGCACACCUAAGACCUCCUAAUCUCACUGGCUCCUUCUUCGUCUCUCCAAUCGGCACCUGUAUGGUUUUGUAGGCUUUGGUGAUGCUGUAUGUGCUUCCAUUUCGCCAGAUCAACAAAUCCUUGAUGUUGACACCGGAAUAGGUGUCAUAGAGUUGUAUGAAAUUAGCGAACCCAUUACACUUAUUCGUUAUGUUUCCUUACAUGAUUGGGGAUAUUCAAUGGAUGAUACUGGUGCGGUUAGUUCUUUUUCAUGAACACCCAAUAGUUCUACUUUUGCAGAUGGAUGGAAAUUAAGAGGGCUUACCGUUUGGUCUAUCUCUUGUUUUCGUUUGAUGUCUAUAAUCCGUCGAAUUGGUUUAAAUUUUGUGUCAUCUCCAGGGGUAAAGCAAAACCCAGAUGGAAAUUAUGAACCUUUAAUGAGUGGGACCUCAUCUAUGUAGUGGGAUGAAUAUGGUUAUAAACUUUAUGUUGUUAAAGAAGACUCUUCAGAGAGAAUACUUGCGUUUUCUUUUGGGAAAUGUUGCCUUAACAGAGUGGUUUCGGGUAAAACCCAUGUUAGACAAGUUAUCUAUGGUGAAAAAAUGUAUGAGAGAGACUGAAAGGUGGAUAUUUUUCCAACAGAAUGCAUACGGUAAUUGAAUCUUGAAUUCCAAUUCUGUCGUAAUGAAAUCACGAAUUUCAUUUAUGUUGGAAUGGAAUAUGGAUAUUUUUUCACUGAUUUAUGC